ensembl:lncRNA
CAGCACUGCCCACCUGAUCAGAACCAGAGAUCAGAACCAAGCUUCCUACAGCAUAUCACGUAGCACACAAGUGUCGAUUUAAUGCUAUAGGGUGGAGCUUGUGGGCUCAUUUCCAGAGGUGAUCCAAUCACAAUGACCCAUUCUUCUAACUUCUUAAAUGUGCCUGUUGACCCCUGGGACAUUAUAGUCCCUGCAUGUGUUACUGAGAAUUGUUGUAAAAAUGAUUACUCUGAUGUUCUGAUACCACAGUUGACCUGUUGAUAUCGACCAUGAACUAAGGAGGUGCUGCACAUUGGUUACUUUGCUCUAGCUUGUGUGUGUGUGUGUGUGUGUGUGUGUGUGUGUGUGUGUGUGUGUGUGUGUGUGUGUGUGUGUGUGUGUGUGUGUGUGUGUGUGUGUGUGUGUGUGUGUGUGUGUGUGUGUGUGUGUGUGUGUGUGUGUGUGUGUGUGUGUGUGUGUGUGUGUGUGUGUGUGUGUGUGUAACUUAUUUUACUUUAUGUAUUGACUAUUAUUGUCUGAUCUUUCUGCAAUGGCACUUGAUAUGUUUUUGUUGUCAUGGUCAUGUUCUUUUGAGCUUCAUAAAAAAGGUUUGAGAAUGUAAAAAAGCCAAAAUGUAUUUUAUUAAUGAAAUUAAAUGACAUUAAAACAUAACUGGUGCCUAAUUUUUGUAACUAAGACCACUAGAGAGAGCUGUUGUGUCCGUCUUUCUGUCUGUCUCUUGCAGCCUCCUCCUCUCCCUUUGUGUCUCUUGUCUUCUCACUUACUCUCUGUAUCAGUCUCUUGUCCUGUCUCACACACUCUCUCUCUUUCUCUGAUGUGCUGACACUUCUGUGACUCUGCUCUGAGCCCUUUCACUGUGGUUAUCAUCAUGGCUGACAUCCUGAUUACGGUGAGAUGGGCAAAACCCCAUGCUAUUCCUCUUUUCAUUUCAGCUGUGCUGAUCUCGUCUGUUCUCCCAGGCCUGUGGCUGCACACAGAAGGUCACUUGCUUUCUUCUUGCACACUCAAUGUGAGCAUUCAGGAUUUAGGCUGUCACCUGCAGUGGAAUUGCCCUGAUGUCAACUCUGACACAGCCUUCACUGUUCAGACAAAGGCUCAAGGGUGUGUGUGUGCGUGUGUGUACGCUAAUCAUGGUUUCAUUCUAAAACUGAUAACUUUGAUCACUGGAAGUGAUUUAGAUAAGAUCAACCCAGUGAGUAUGGCAGUGCUAUACCAAACCACAUACCAUCAGCAAAACAAAACUCGCAUGAGGCUGUUCAAUACUUGCAUGUGUGAAGAGCCCAUGAGCACCUGGACAGGACAGGGUGUGAGCUAAAGCAUAACCUGCACCUUGGGCUUGAAGAUGAAACUUGG